rnacentral:rRNA from 1 species
CGAACCUACGGGACGCAGCAGUGAGGAAUAUUGGUCAAUGGGCGGGAGCCUGAACCAGCCAAGUCGCGUGAGGGAAGACGGUCCUAUGGAUUGUAAACCUCUUUAGGCGGGGAGCAAUGCCGGGCACGUGUGCCCGGAGGGAGAGUACCUGCAGAAUAAGCAUCGGCUAACUCCGUGCCAGCAGCCGCGGUAAUACGUAGGGUGCGAGCGUUAAUCGGAAUUACUGGGCGUAAAGGGUGCGCAGGCGGUUGAGUAAGACAGAUGUGAAAUCCCCGAGCUUAACUCGGGAAUGGCAUAUGUGACUG